rnacentral:lncRNA from 1 species
AUGGCUCUCUCUGUCUCUAUGCCUGAGUGGGACCUAUUAGUGUUGAACAGAGGUGUGUGUGUGUGUGUGUGUGUGAGAGCGAGAGCUGUUGUGGCUGCAUCCAUUUUUAUGUUCCUUUUGCGGUCAAUUAAUAAAAAAAACAGUCUUCUGUACACUGCGUGUGCUACAGUCAUGGUGUGUGUGUGUGUACACUCUGCGUGUGCUACAGUCAUGGUGUGUGUGUGUGUACACUGCGUGUGCUACAGUCAUGGUGUGUGUGUGUGUGUGUGUACACUCUGCGUGUGCUACAGUCAUUGUGUGUGUGUGUGUGUACACUCUGCGUGUGCUACAGUCAUGGUGUGUGUGUGUGUACACUGCGUGUGCUACAGUCAUGGUGUGUGUGUGUGUGUGUGUACACUCUGCGUGUGCUACAGUCAUUGUGUGUGUGUGUGUGUACACUCUGCGUGUGCUACAGUCAUGGUGUGUGUGUGUGUACACUCUGCGUGUGCUACAGUCAUGGUGUGUGUGUGUGUGUACACUCUGCGUGUGCUACAGUCAUUGUGUGUGUGUGUGUACACUCUGCGUGUGCUACAGUCAUUGUGUGUGUGUGUGUACACUCUGCGUGUGCUACAGUCAUGGUGUGUGUGUGUGUGUGUGUGUGUACACUCUGCGUGUGCUACAGUCAUGGUGUGUGUGUGUGUGUGUGUGUGUACACUCUGCGUGUGCUACAGUCAUUGUGUGUGUGUGUGUGUGUACACUCUGCGUGUGCUACAGUCAUUGUGUGUGUGUGUGUGUGUGUGUGUGUGUACACUGCGUGUGCUACAGUCAUGGUGUGUGUGUGUGUGUACACUGCGUGUGCUACAUUCAUGGUGUGUGUACACUGCAUGUACUACAGUCAUGGUGUGUGUGUGUGUACACUCUGCGUGUGCUACAGUCAUGGUGUGUGUGUGUGUACACUCUGCUUGUGCGUGUGUUUGGUCUGAUUGUAGGAAGGUGGUCAUCUCCAUUGAAGGCAUCAUUACAUGUUUUAAUUGUUUCCCCCCUAUGACUGUGUGCUAG